rnacentral:rRNA from 1 species
UUCGAUUGUGCCAGCAGCCGCGGUAAUACGUAGGGUGCGAGCGUUAAUCGGAAUUACUGGGCGUAAAGCGUGCGCAGGCGGUUAUGUAAGACAGAUGUGAAAUCCCCGGGCUCAACCUGGGAACUGCAUUAGUGACUGCAUAGCUGGAGUACGGCAGAGGGGGAUGGAAUUCCGCGUGUAGCAGUGAAAUGCGUAGAUAUGCGGAGGAACACCGAUGGCGAAGGCAAUCCCCUGGGCCUGUACUGACGCUCAUGCACGAAAGCGUGGGGAGCAAACAGGAUUAGAUACCCUGGUAGUCCACGCCCUAAACGAUGUCAACUGGUUGUUGGGUCUUCACUGACUCAGUAACGAAGCUAACGCGUUAAGCAAUCCGCCUGGGGAGUAUCGGUCGC